CACGUGAGCAACCUGCCCCUGACUCUGGGAUAAGCGCUGGAAACGGCGUCUAAUACUGGAUAUGUGACGUGACCGCAUGGUCUGCGUUUGGAAAGAUUUUUCGGUUGGGGAUGGGCUCGCGGCCUAUCAGCUUGUUGGUGAGGUAAUGGCUCACCAAGGCGUCGACGGGUAGCCGGCCUGAGAGGGUGACCGGCCACACUGGGACUGAGACACGGCCCAGACUCCUACGGGAGGCAGCAGUGGGGAAUAUUGCACAAUGGGCGGAAGCCUGAUGCAGCAACGCCGCGUGAGGGAUGACGGCCUUCGGGUUGUAAACCUCUUUUAGCAGGGAAGAAGCGAAAGUGACGGUACCUGCAGAAAAAGCGCCGGCUAACUACGUGCCAGCAGCCGCGGUAAUACGUAGGGCGCAAGCGUUAUCCGGAAUUAUUGGGCGUAAAGAGCUCGUAGGCGGUUUGUCGCGUCUGCUGUGAAAUCCCGAGGCUCAACCUCGGGCCUGCAGUGGGUACGGGCAGACUAGAGUGCGGUAGGGGAGAUUGGAAUUCCUGGUGUAGCGGUGGAAUGCGCAGAUAUCAGGAGGAACACCGAUGGCGAAGGCAGAUCUCUGGGCCGUAACUGACGCUGAGGAGCGAAAGGGUGGGGAGCAAACAGGCUUAGAUACCCUGGUAGUCCACCCCGUAAACGUUGGGAACUAGUUGUGGGGUCCAUUCCACGGAUUCCGUGACGCAGCUAACGCAUUAAGUUCCCCGCCUGGGGAGUACGGCCGCAAGGCUAAAACUCAAAGGAAUUGACGGGGACCCGCACAAGCGGCGGAGCAUGCGGAUUAAUUCGAUGCAACGCGAAGAACCUUACCAAGGCUUGACAUAUACGAGAACGGGCCAGAAAUGGUCAACUCUUUGGACACUCGUAAACAGGUGGUGCAUGGUUGUCGUCAGCUCGUGUCGUGAGAUGUUGGGUUAAGUCCCGCAACGAGCGCAACCCUCGUUCUAUGUUGCCAGCACGUAAUGGUGGGAACUCAUGGGAUACUGCCGGGGUCAACUCGGAGGAAGGUGGGGAUGACGUCAAAUCAUCAUGCCCCUUAUGUCUUGGGCUUCACGCAUGCUACAAUGGCCGGUACAAAGGGCUGCAAUACCGUGAGGUGGAGCGAAUCCCAAAAAGCCGGUCCCAGUUCGGAUUGAGGUCUGCAACUCGACCUCAUGAAGUCGGAGUCGCUAGUAAUCGCAGAUCACGCAAACGCUGCGGUGAAUACCGUUCCCGGGUCUUGUACAGCACCGCCC
rnacentral:rRNA from 1 species